GACGAACGCUGGCGGCGUGCUUAACACAUGCAAGUCGAACGCUGAAGCCCUUCGGGGUGGAUGAGUGGCGAACGGGUGAGUAACACGUGGGUAAUCUGCCCUGCACUCUGGGAUAAGCCUUGGAAACGGGGUCUAAUACCGGAUAGGACACAUCGCCGCAUGGUGUGUGUGUGGAAAGUUCCGGCGGUGCAGGUUGAGCCCGCGGCCUAUCAGCUUGUUGGUGGGGUGAUGGCCUACCAAGGCGACGACGGGUAGCCGGCCUGAGAGGGUGACCGGCCACACUGGGACUGAGACACGGCCCAGACUCCUACGGGAGGCAGCAGUGGGGAAUCUUGCGCAAUGGGCGAAAGCCUGACGCAGCAACGCCGCGUGGGGGAUGACGGCCUUCGGGUUGUAAACCUCUUUCGACCGGGACGAAGGAUUCGUUUGACGGUACCGGUAGAAGAAGCACCGGCUAACUACGUGCCAGCAGCCGCGGUAAAAC
rnacentral:rRNA from 1 species